UACGUAGGGUGCAAGCGUUGUCCGGAAUUAUUGGGCGUAAAGAGCUCGUAGGCGGUCUGUCGCGUCUGCUGUGAAAACUCGGGGCUUAACCCCGGGCCUGCAGUGGGUACGGGCAGACUAGAGUGCGGUAGGGGAGACUGGAAUUCCUGGUGUAGCGGUGAAAUGCGCAGAUAUCAGGAGGAACACCGGUGGCGAAGGCGGGUCUCUGGGCCGUAACUGGACGCUGAGGAGCGAAAGCAUGGGGAGCGAACAGG
rnacentral:rRNA from 1 species